GGGAUUGGGUUGCUGGAGGCGUGGUCACUUUCUGCAGGCUUCUCAGAUACUUUUUUCAUCCGAAGCAGCCGCGUUUUCCUCGUUGCACUCACAGAUCGCAUGAUUGCGUUCUGAAAUAGCAUGACAUGCUUUGUCAAUGAAGA
rnacentral:lncRNA from 1 species